rnacentral:rRNA from 1 species
GCCCAACGGGACGCAGCAGUGAGGAAUAUUGGUCAAUGGACGAGAGUCUGAACCAGCCAAGUAGCGUGAAGGAUGACUGCCCUAUGGGUUGUAAACUUCUUUUAUAAAGGAAUAAAACGAGGCACGUGUGCCUUUUUGCAUGUACUUUAUGAAUAAGGAUCGGCUAACUCCGUGCCAGCAGCCGCGGUAAUACGUAGGUGGCAAGCGUUGUCCGGAUUUACUGGGUGUAAAGGGCAGGCAGCCGGGCUGACAAGUCAGAUGUGAAAUCCCACGGCUCAACCGCGGAACUG